AACGAACGCUGGCGGCGUGCCUAACACAUGCAAGUCGUGCGAGAAAGUUCCUUCGGGAGCGAGUAAAGCGGCGCACGGGUGAGUAACACGUAGGUAACCUGCCCCCUGGUCUGGAACAACUGGAGGAAACUCCAGCUAAUGCCGGAUAAGACCACGGCCCCCUCGGGGACUGUGGCCAAAGAUGGCCUCUGCUUGCAUGCUAUCGCCUUGGGAUGGGCCUGCGGGCCAUUAGCUAGUUGGUGAGGUAACGGCUCACCAAGGCCGUGAUGGCUAGCUGGUCUGAGAGGAGGACCAGCCACACGGGGACUGAGACACGGCCCAGACUCCUACGGGAGGCAGCAGUGGGGAAUAUUGCGCAAUGGGCGAAAGCCUGACGCAGCGACGCCGCGUGGGUGAUGAAGGCCUUCGGGUCGUAAAGCCCUGUCGCAGGGGAAGAACAAGCGGUGGGAUAAUACCCUGCCGCCCUGACGGUACCCUGCAAGAAAGCACCGGCUAACUCCGUGCCAGCCGCCGCAGUAACAC
rnacentral:rRNA from 1 species